UCAGUUCCGAGUUCUUAUGAUGGGAUAAC
rnacentral:piRNA from 1 species